GCUGAGCUCAGUAACGUGAGCUUGUGACCCAAGUGGGAGCAUUAAGCUGAUGGAACAGGAUUUCAGCUCUCUGGGUCGGGUCUCUGUGGUUGGCAUUAUGCUGGCUCGCCCUCUCCAAGUUGAGAGUUGGUCCAUGUGGGUCGGGCGAAGGCCUGAUCUUUAUGGGCCUUAGAGUGGAGGGGACUGCGUGAGGCUGGUUUCACAGAGCAACGAAAACCUCCCGCUCUUGUCAGUGGAAGGAUAACGAGCUUGCGCUUCCUAGGCCCAUUAGUAGUACUUAGUUACUUAGUUGGCUGAUCCUCCAAUGGACCAUCACUUUA
rnacentral:SRP_RNA from 1 species